AAGAAACUGAGGCACAGAGAGGUGAAAUAAGUUGCCUAAGUUUUUAGCUAGUAAGUGGUAAAGGAAGAAUUUGAACCUAGACCGUUGGACCCUGCCUGUGCUACAGAGAGAAAAGCUUGCUUCUAGAAGCCAUACCACACAUAAAGAACAAACAUCCUAUUGCUUAUUAAAUUUAGGUGUAAUAAGUAACUUGUAGCCAUUUGACUUGAAGUUUGAUGCACUUCUUAGGUCCUCUGGUUAAAUAAUUUAUGUUUUUGGGAGGUUUCCUCCAUAAUUAGAAUUCCAAAAUGAAUAAUAAACGACACUUUUCCUAGGAAGGGCUUUGGAAAUAACAUUGAAUCCAGUCUUCAUUCUUUUCUUCCACCACUUCAUAAUCUUCCCAUGACUCCAAAUCUAACUUGCUUAGUGAAGUCUGACAGAAAAAAAUGCCUUCAAGAACUGAAUAUGACCAGAGAGAAGAAAGGAUUUUAAGAAGACCAUAUACGGCCUUUCUAAUCAAAGCCUGCUUCUUAUGCUGCAACAUCAAGGUGUGUGGUGGUGACUGCUUCAUCGGACCGGAGUGAAUGGCAACAAUGAGCAAUGCCAUCCCUGCUGAGCAUUAGUGGACAUGUAGUAUGAUCAAGAAAUAAAUCUUUGUUGUUCUAAGCAA